AUUGAACGCUGGCGGCAGGCCUAACACAUGCAAGUCGAGCGGAGCGGCUGGCGGAUGGGUAAUUCCUGUGAAUCUGCCUGGUAGUGGGGGAUGACUUCCUGCAACGGGCGCUAAUUCCUCCUACUUGCAGUUGAGCCUAGCUCGGAUUGGCUAGUUGGUGGGGUAAAGGCCUACCAAGGCGACGAACCGUACCUGGUCUGAGAGGAUGAUCAGCCACACUGGAACUGAGACACGGUCCAGACUCCUACGGGAGGCAGCAGUGGGGAAUAUUGGACAAUGGGCGAAAGCCUGAUGCAGCCAUGCCGCGUGUGUGAAGAAGGUCUUCGGGUUGUAAAGCACUUUAAGUUGGGAGGCGUUACCAACAGAAUAAGCACCGGCUAACUUCGUGCCAGCAGCCGCGGUAAUUC
rnacentral:rRNA from 1 species